rnacentral:rRNA from 1 species
UGGGGAAUAUUGCACAAUGGGGGAAACCCUGAUGCAGCGACGCCGCGUGAGUGAAGAAGUAUUUCGGUAUGUAAAGCUCUAUCAGCAAGGAAGAAAAUGACGGUACUUGACUAAGAAGCCCCGGCUAACUACGUGCCAGCAGCCGCGGUAAUACGUAGGGGGCAAGCGUUAUCCGGAUUUACUGGGUGUAAAGGGAGCGUAGACGGUUUGGCAAGUCAGAUGUGAAAGCCCAGGGCUCAACCCUGGGACUGCAUUUGAAACUGUUAAACUAGAGUGCAGGAGAGGUAAGUGGAAUUCCUAGUGUAGCGGUGAAAUGCGUAGAUAUUAGGAGGAACACCAGUGGCGAAGGCGACUUACUGGACUGUAACUGACGUUGAGGCUCGAAAGCGUGGGGAGCAAACAGG